rnacentral:lncRNA from 1 species
CUUAUAUUUGGAAAGAAAACUACCUGGGAAAAUACUUUCUACCCUGCCAUAAACCCUGGACACUUAGGAGAAAGAUGGAAGACACUGGGAUCAAAGCAAAUCGAGGAAAAAAUUCAAGUGAAGAGACUGGAAAUUAAGAGAGUCCAUACUGGAUGAUUUUUCAGUAAAGAAUUGCGCAAUACAAAGGGUGAGGUGAGUUAAUUUGUUUAUUUUAUUUGAAAAAAGAAGAAAAGAAUUUGAGGCAGUUUAUUUCAAUAAUUGAUUGGGAGGCAAUUUUAGGUAAAUUUAAUAUCUAGCAAAAUAGAAUAGAUGUAGUUGAAAUCAAAACUACAUUUUUAUGCUUCAGUGAGUCAUGCUAAAUGCCAUAUAAAACACUAUUCAGUGGAUGGCGUGGCAUGUCUCUGACUGUGUGGGGAACAAGGCAAUUAUGCUUAUUGAUCAAAAUAAAAAACA